GCUUCUAUGAUUGCUUCUGCUAGCACGGCAAACAAGUCCAAUACUUCAAAGUUAAGCAACCACCGUCCCUCCUUCUUAAGAGCUCACUCUCACCCUCACCCUCACCCUACACCACCAAAGGAACCUCCCUCUGCAAUUCCAUAUAGCAACCACGGCCACCGCAACUUCUUCUUCAAACUUCAACUGCAAAACUUACAACAAGUUAAUCGAAUUUACUUAUGGCACCCAUCACCAGCCUCGUCUGCUUCGUUCUCACUCACUUUGGUUUUCUCUGGACACCCACAUUUUUUCAAAAUUUCAGGUAUGAAAACCCCAUUGAGCUUGAGCGAGGUACAUUCCGAAGUUACAGCUACCUGCAUUUAAUUGUUGUUCAAACUUAAUCAAGACCAUAUAUAUAUAUAUAUAUGUAUGUAUGUAUGUAUGUUGAAGGAAUCAAAGUUCGACAUGACCGGCUACUUUUGAUCUCGUUCGAUGAUGUGAUCAUGGAGGGCAUUGUUUGGUUCUGGAGCUGCAGAUGGUGUUCUGGUCAUGCCAAACAUUAUUGUAUAACAUAUGAAUGUAUUGUACAUAUGUUUUGUUAUGCAUCGUCUAUGAUCAGGAGAAUUAGUCUAUUGUAUUGGAUACGCAGCAGGACAUUCGCUUAUAUUGUUAGUAAAUUCUCUAAUCAUUUUAACUUGUAAGUUUUUUGUGGGUGUAGAUAAUUUGGGAUUGAUUCUCUAAUAGGUCGUUUGACAA